GAGUUUGAUCGUGGCUCAGAACGAACGUUAGCGGCGCGCCUAACACAUGCAAGUCGCACGAGAAAGGGCUUCGGCCCCGGUACAGUGGCGCACGGGUGAGUAACACGUAGAUAAUCUUCCCUCGAGUGGUGGAUAACUCUCCGAAAGGAGAGCUAAUACAGCAUGAGACCACGGCUUCGUUGAAGCUGCGGCCAAAGCAGGCCUCUACACGUAAGCUUGCGCUUGAGGAUGAGUCUGCGGCCCAUCAGCUAGUUGGUAGGGUAAUGGCCUACCAAGGCUAAGACGGGUAGCUGGUCUGAGAGGAUGAACAGCCACACUGGAACUGAGACACGGUCCAGACUCCUACGGGAGGCAGCAGUGGGGAAUCUUGCGCAAUGGGCGAAAGCCUGACGCAGCGACGCCGCGUGAGCGAUGAAGGCCU
rnacentral:rRNA from 1 species